UAAGCAUAUCAAUAAGCGGAGGAAAAGAAACCAACAGGGAUUGCCCCAGUAACGGCGAGUGAAGCGGCAACAGCUCAAAUUUGAAAUCUGGCUCUCGGGCCCGAGUUGUAAUUUGUAGAGGAUGCUUUUGGUGAGGUGCCUUCCGAGUUCCCUGGAACGGGACGCCAUAGAGGGUGAGAGCCCCGUCUGGUUGGACGCCGAACCUCUGUAAAGCUCCUUCGACGAGUCGAGUAGUUUGGGAAUGCUGCUCUAAAUGGGAGGUAUAUGUCUUCUAAAGCUAAAUACCGGCCAGAGACCGAUAGCGCACAAGUAGAGUGAUCGAAAGAUGAAAAGAACUUUGAAAAGAGAGUUAAACAGUACGUGAAAUUGUUGAAAGGGAAGCGCUUGUGACCAGACUUGGGCUUGGUUGAUCAUCCGGGGUUCUCCCCGGUGCACUCUUCCGGCCCAGGCCAGCAUCAGUUCGCCCUGGGGGACAAAGGCAUCGGGAACGUGGCUCUCUCCGGGGAGUGUUAUAGCCCGUUGCGUAAUACCCUGCGGCGGACUGAGGUUCGCGCAUUCGCAAGGAUGCUGGCGUAAUGGUCAUCAGUGACCCGUCUUGAAACACGGACCAAGGAGUCGUCUUCGUAUGCGAGUGUUCGGGUGUCAAACCCCUACGCGAAAUGAAAGUGAACGCAGGUGAGAGCUUCGGCGCAUCAUCGACCGAUCCUGAUGUUAUCGGAUGGAUUUGAGUAAGAGCAUACGGGGCCGGACCCGAAAGAAGGUGAACUAUGCCUGUGUAGGGUGAAGCCAGAGGAAACUCUGGUGGAGGCUCGCAGCGGUUCUGACGUGCAAAUCGAUCGUCAAACAUGGGCAUGGGGGCGAAA
rnacentral:rRNA from 1 species